UGGUCAUAAGUUUGAAAAAACAUUGAAAGAUAGGAUCGAAAAAGAUAAACAACUUAAGGAAUUGCUUCCUGAGUUAAAUAUUGGAAAUAAACCUGGGUCUUUUCUGGGUAAAAGGAAAAACACUACUUCUAAUGAUUGGCAAGCAAAACGUGUGAAACCAAAUGUUAAUCAGAACAGUUUUAAAUCAUCUCCAGGUACUCAGCGUUCUUUUCAGAGAACAACGACUGUUUCAAGACCUGACAAGAGUGACAAUAAGUUUGAGAAAACAGGAACUAAUUUUCGUCCCUCAUGGGGCAACCAGGGAAAAAACCAACAAAGAAAAUGACUAUUUAAAGACGCUGUAGUGAUCUUCAAGCAUUGAGAAUAGGAGAUGGUAAUAUUAGUGUACAUAGUACUGGUGUGUUUUUCAUUAGAGAAGGCCUUUCAAAACAGGAUCGACCUGGACAUAUUGGUUCAAAAAUAUUUGUUCCAAGUUUUAAGGACAACAAAUUAUAGAAUCCGAAAAGGUCAUUUUGUUAUUAUUUGAAAAUGACAGAUAACUUCCGUAAUUGUGACAGAAGUAAUAGUAAAUUGUUUUUAAGUGUAAAUAGCCCGCACAACCCGGUCUCUAGUCAGACAAUUUCGAAUUGGAUUGUCCAAACUAUCCAAAUGGCAUAUAAUGACAAAAAUAAGUCUGUCAAAGCUCAUAGUACAAGAGCUAGUGGCCCUUCAUGUGCCCUAUUUAAGGGUUCAUCUAUGAAAUCCAUUAUGGAGGCAGCAGACUGGAGUAGAGAGUCUACUUUCACGAAAUUUUAUUUGAGAAACCUAGAACCGAGCGUUUUAUCUUAAUUGUUGAAUAAGAAAAAAUAAAAAAAAAAAAAUAUAAAAUAAACAUUAAAAAAAUAUUGUACAUAUAUAAUAUAUAUAUAUUGAAAUCCUCAUUUCCGACGAGAUGCGAUGGAAUUUUAGAUAAUGAAUAAAGACUAAAAAUUUGUUUGAAUGAUCGAACAACAGAAUAUUCAUUUUAAUAUUAGUGUAAAUAAAGGUUGAUAGUUUACAUGGA